rnacentral:rRNA from 1 species
UUAAGAAUCUUGCACAAUGGGCGAAAGCCUGAUGCAGCGACGCCGCGUGAAUGAUGAAGGCCUUCGGGUUGUAAAGUUCGGUAAGCAGGGAAGAAUAAGCAAGAGGUAAUAUUUCUUGUGAUGACGGUACCUGCCUAAAGCCCCGGCUAACUACGUGCCAGCAGCCGCGGUAAUACGUAUGGGGCGAGCGUUGUUCGGAAUUAUUGGGCGUAAAGGGCGUCUAGGCGGGAAAUUAAGUUAGGUGUGAAAGCUAUGGGCUCAACCCAUAAACUGCAUCUAAAACUGAUUUUCUUGAGUUCGGGAGAGGAGAGCGGAAUUCCAGGUGUAGCGGUGAAAUGCGUAGAUAUCUGGAAGAACACCAGUGGCGAAGGCGGCUCUCUGGCCUAGAACUGACGCUGAAGCGCGAAAGCGUGGGGAGCGAACA